GUUUCUGGCCUUGAUAAAUGGGAUUAUAUGUUGCGCGUUUUGGAUGAUUUGUCCCUCGGCGGACACUAUCGCGCUCAUACAAACACUGCUAUUCCACUUGAAAACCAUGUAUUCGUGGGGUUUGAUUGUGGGUUAAACGUGAAAUGUCUGUGCUGCGUAGAGCUAAAACGUGGGAAAUAUCGGAAUCUGAGGGCAGCGAUGUUGAAACUAAACCUGAUGUACACCACAGUGAGGCAGAAAUAAAAGAGAAUCAGAGUUCAGACAAGUGCAAAACCCUGACAGCAACUAAAGCCGCGAUUCCACAAGCAUCUACUCGGCGCGGUACGGUUCGCCACUAUUGUAUCUGACUCGGCUCGUCUCGGUUUAGUUGUUUUUCCAUAUAGCCUCAUCGUGGGUGGAGUCGUCAUAGCGCAGCGAGCCGAAAGUCCCUUAACGUCAUUUGCGUGCGACACAAACGCAACAUAACGGAGACGAUGGUUCACCUGCUGCUCGGUCUGUGGCUUUCUGUCAGAUUCAAAGUAAUAGAAGAGUCGGAGAAAGCUGAGAGCGGCGAGUCGAAACAUUCAGGAGACACACAGGAGAGUUUGGGAGGCGAUGCAGCAGUAUCAAGCUGAAGACAAGAGGAUAUGAACUAGACGACAUAUGAGGAUGCUCUCUGAUGAGACUUCAUGGGAUUUACCUGAAGCAGCAGCACAUGAGCCUGCAGUGGCACAAGGUGUAGAGGAGGAGGACAGAUGUAUAGGAUGCACUGAUGCACUACGUGUCAUGCAAAGUUAUUCUUCCUCGCUAUACUUCUGUUUUUCUGUCCCCGGACCGCUAUUGUUUUCUUUAAUGCAAUUCUGACAAUAAACUUUUGUACCUUUUGCA